AUCAGAAUCGCGGCUCCCCGUCUGAUCCGUUCGCUUUCCGUCUGAGACGAAUUGAAUGCAGGGGCGAGAGUCUUCUUCCCCAAGGGUCAUUUGGUAGCUGAUGAGGAGUGCGGGAUAGUGGUCUGGACCGCCGGCGGCGGGGCACCGUGAAGCUUCUGAUGCAACCGAUUGGCUGGUGGGGGAGAGUUUGGUCCCCGCCCCUGUGCGUGCGAAAGGCCAAGUUGUGGCAGGGCCAACGGCGCCGCGGCAGACAGCGGUGAAGAGCAGAUCUUCGCGGCGGAGGGAAGGGAGAGGUCACCGCCGACAUCGGAGCUGUCAACAGAGAGGAUGGAUCCUCAGGCGCCCGGAUGGAACCAGAGGAUAGGAAGAAGAUUAUCAAAAGCUUGAAGGGGAAGAGUAUGAAGAUCACUCUCAGUGAGUAUGUAUGCCUUGUAAGUGAUGUCUAUAUAUGUAAUAUAUUUUAGUGUUUAAAUAGGAUCGUACUGUGUGAAUUCUAUACUCUCACCUAUACAAACAUUCUUCCAGUGCACACAAACUUUGGAUGCAAUUAAUCAUCAACUGAAUUUACAUGUAUUUUUUUCCUCCAGUUUGUUGUUUGUCUUCUAUCCAUUGUUGAUAACGCAAAACUUGUUACUGAGGUUAGCCAGCACCAAUCGUUUGCUUGAACCAGCUGUUAUGCUUAUAGCUUACUUAUAAGUUGAUUGAACCUUUUAUCUGGGAGCUUCACUGACAGGAUCCAUGUACUUCAGGACUGGUCAAUUCCCAUGUCUUUGCAAAUUUUGUUUUCACUUUUUCAUGAUUUAUAAUUUAAUUUGGUUUAGAAAGCAUGGUUGAGAUGCAGCCUAUUAACAGUAGAGGGUCGUGGUCUACGUAAAGGAUUACUAGGAUGGCGAGCCCACGAUGGCGCUGAUGAUCAGCUGAUCAAGCAGGUGAUGAUGAAGGCGUGGGUCUACUCAGUGGGGGCAGCGGAGGGCGCGGACAGUAAUAACAGUUGGGGGCAGCGGAGAGUUGUCUGUAAUGCAUUUCCCAUGCCAUCAGGCUGUAUCUUUGUUUUUCUUCUUUCUUGUAGUACUAUAAAUACAAAUGUAUGAGUAGAUCUGAACUUAUAAUUUCUCUGUAACACAUGCCUAAGCUUCCUAGAAAUGCUCACGUACAGAACAGAGACCAAACAAGCCAACUGAAUUAGCGGUGGCAAACAGGCACCGCACAGUCGUGUCUCGGGAGGGCGCUGAACCCAUUACAUUCAGAGAUGCUGGCUGCUGAAGCUGCACUUCACUUGGCGUCAGAUUUAGGAAUGGGCAAGGUCUACAUGGAAACUGAUGCUCUGUUGCUGAAGGAAGCGCUAGAUGAUACUGGCAUUCAUCUCUCGUGCCUUGGUGUUGUGGCGGACCGCUUAAAAACUUUUAUCAUGUGUAAUUUCAUUGAGUGGCAAGAUUGUGCACUGCUCUAGAAUAUGUAAUCAGGCAGCGCACACCCUUGCGACAAAGGGCUCGCUGAUGGCCUGGGUGCCGACCUGACCCAUGUGGA